rnacentral:tRNA from 1 species
GGGGGUAUAAUUCAGUUAGUAGACUGCCUGCCUUGUAUGCACAAGGCCCUGGGUUCUAAUCUCCAGCACCCCCC